UACGAAGGGAGCAAGCGUUGCUCGGAUUUAUUGGGCGUAAAGGGUGUGUAGGCGGUUUUGUAAGUUAGAUGUGAAAGCCCAGGGCUCAACCCUGGAAUUGCAUUUAAGACUGCAUUACUUGAAGUUCGAAGAGGUUAGCAGAAUUCCCAGUGUAGAGGUGAAAUUCGUAGAUAUUGGGAAGAAUACCAAUGGCGUAGGCAGCUAACUGGUUGAUACUUGACGCUGAGGCACGAAAGCGUGGGGAGCAAACAGG
rnacentral:rRNA from 1 species